rnacentral:pre_miRNA from 1 species
AUGUAGUGUGACAUGCCCAUUUGGAAAUUACACUGAUGCAUGUUUUAUUAAUUAAUUGAUUUUUGGGAAACGGGGUAUUACAAAAAA